rnacentral:rRNA from 1 species
UACAGAGGGGGCGAGCGUUGUUCGGAAUUACUGGGCGUAAAGGGCUCGUAGGUGGCCAACUAAGUCAGACGUGAAAUCCCUCGGCUUAACCGGGGAACUGCGUCUGAUACUGGAUGGCUAGAGAUUGGGAGAGGGAUGCGGAAUUCCAGGUGUAGCGGUGAAAUGCGCAGAUAUCAGGAGGAACACCAAUGGCGAAGGCAGCUCGCUGGGACGGUACUGACGCUGAGGCGCGAAAGCGUGGGGAGCAAACAGG